CGGUUUUUUCCUCAGGCUUCCGGUCUGUUUGGUGCCCUGGUCGCGUGUCUUCCGAACUCUGCUGCUUCGCCCCGGCAAGAGCACUUCCUUCCGCGGCUGCUAAAACUGGUGCGCGGGUUCCCAACUUCGCAGAAGAGCUUCAUCGGCCCCCCGCUAGAGACCUCAGACCGCAGCCAUCGACGCCUCGCCUCGGGGAUCUGUCCCCACCCUCGGGGCCAGCUCACCAUGAGUCAGGCCCUGUGCUAGGUGCUGGGAUGAAGCAGUGACUGACACAGGCCUGGACCUGUCCUUGGGAAGAGUGCGUCUGUGACACAGAUACUGUGCCAUGUGGCAAAACUUGAAUGGAGACAUCAGCUCUUUGUGGGUCUCAAGUCUACUGGCUUUCAAUCAGCUCUUCUGCUUGACAGCUGCAGGUCUUGGGACUGCCCAGCCCCCAUAACCCUGUGAGUGCAUUCCUGAUAAUAACCCUCUUUCUCUUGUCCUCCCCCACCCCACAUCAUUGGUUCUGUUUCUCUGGAGAACCAUAAUACAUCAUUUACUAAUCAGGAAAUAGAUUCAGAGACAUUAAUAACUCAUCCAACCUCACAGUUAACUGUAGAGUUGGGCUUGAAAUUCCAAGGUCGAUUUUCUUAGCCAAUACACCAUGCUACAUAUAUGUAUGUAAAAAUAAAAACGCUUGUGAACUGAAAAGGGUCC
rnacentral:lncRNA from 10 species